UUCCCAAAAUCUUUUAUUUCCUCAUGGAUGUAUUAAGAUGGUGCUGCUACUCGUAAUAAAGUCAUUUUACAAUUCUACCAAGGUUUAUGCUUGUGAAAUGUGUUCAAUUACUACGUACACUUUAUACAAUUAUAUAGAUACAUAAUUUUAUUUUAUAUGUAUAUUUAUUUAUCUAAUUCUGUUGUCAUUUACAAUAGUUUACUUCAUAUCUGUUCUAUUUUCCAUUGACAAUUGUGCAUGUAAAUGCUCUGAAGUCUGCAACUUUAAUGUAUCUUUUAUAAAAAAAAAGAUACCAGUUAGAUUUUUCUGUAAAAGUUUAGCAUCAAAGCUUUUCAUCGGAAGCACUAGUGUUGACCAAAUUGCAAGUAAGAUAUUUAUUUGACAAAAACAUUGGCAAAGUUUUUUAAUCAUGGACUCAGGCCUUCAGUCCUGGUUAGUCUCAGGCUGAAAUAGUAAGGUAUGUUGUUCAUUUGAACAAAAUUACCGACAAUAUUGGCACCGGCUGGCUCGUCAAUGAGCUUGUCUCGAGGGCCGCGAGGAGGGACCUGGCGCGGUGUCACGGACGCGAUUCCUCACGAGAAUGGUGUCGAUCAUCGGGCGAAGUGCACGGCUCUCGAGUUCGCUUUUAAGAUAUACCUCGGCGGUCCUGCCAGCGAGUGGAAGCUCACCGGCUUCGUUAUGCCAGCACGAGAUCACAAGAAGAGACGAUGUCGCACUCUCUGCCGCGCCGACGACGGCCCUUACAUUGGGAGUGAGGUUAGGUACUCUAUCGACGCUCGCGACGAGAACUGCAUACCGCGGUUAUGCGGCUUCAGCACCGAGCCCGCCUUCGUCGGGGAAGCUCUCCGUAUUCCAGAGGAUGAAACAGCUAUACAAAGACUACUGGCACGUCCUGAUACCGGUGCAUCUUAUUACGUCAGCAGGAUGGGUCGGCAUAUUUUACAUCGCUGCGAAGAACGGAGUCGACAUAGUUGCCAUUAUGAAAUACCUGCACAUCAGUGAGAAGUACAUAGAGCUGGUGCAUAAUUCUGGUGCUGGUCACUGGGCGGUAGUCUAUGCCCUGUACAAAUUAGUUACGCCGCUAAGAUACAUCGUCACAGUUGGUGGCACGACUGUAGCCAUUGGAUACCUGCGAAGGUGGGGAUAUAUGCAUAAGAAGCAGAUUCCACCCAUGAAGAAGGACGAGCAGUUAAGCAAAAGCACAGCGAAGGAGAAGACAAAUCUCACCGAGAAAGAACCCAAGCCCGAACCACCAAAGACGUAACAUUUGACCUAUACGGACGUCCGAGGAUUAAUUCCAUCCGAUUCACUCCUUAGCCUCGACUCAACGAACAUAAGACCUUCGUAAGGCCAUAUAUUGGAAAGAGUGUCGACAUUUAGGACGACGAGUCAGCGAACGAAGGAACAGGCAUUUCUCGACGACGGUAUCCAACAGGGGAGCCUCAAAGUCAUCGUCUCAAAAGUUCACCUUAUAAAAACG
rnacentral:misc_RNA from 1 species